rnacentral:rRNA from 1 species
AUUGAACGCUGGCGGCAGGCCUAACACAUGCAAGUCGAGCGGAUGAAGGGAGCUUGCUCCUGGAUUCAGCGGCGGACGGGUGAGUAAUGCCUAUGAAUCUGCCUUGUAGUGGGGGAUAACGUCCGGAAACGGGCGCUAAUACCGCAUGCGUCCUGAGGGAGAAAGUGGGGGAUCUUCGGACCUCACGCUAUCAUGUGAGCCUAGGUCGGAGUCGCUAGUUGGUGGCGUGAAGGCCUACCAAGGCGACGAUGCGUAACUGGUCUGAGAGGCUGGUCAGUUACACUGGAACUGAGAAAGGGUCCAGACUCCUGCGGGAGGACGCAGUGGGGAAUAUUGGGCGAUGGGCGAAAGGCGGAUCCAGCCAAGUCGCGUGUGUGAAGAAGGUCUUCGGCUUGUUAAGUACUUUAAGUUGGGGGGAAGGGCAGUAAGUUAAUACCUUGCUGUUUUGACGGUACCCACAGAAUAAGCACCGGCUAACUUCGUG